rnacentral:lncRNA from 1 species
AAAGUAUCCUUCUUUAUUCAGCAUUAUCCCCUUUCUCCAAUUUACGAUUUUUAUUUUUCAUUUCAAUUUCUCACUAUCCAUUUGAUCUUCUUUUCUCUAUCGUCGUUGAAGAAUCUCUCUCCUUCAUUCAAUAAUUUAUCCCCUUUAUUCAAGAAUCUCUUUCCUUCGUUCAAGAAUCUUUCUCCUUCAUUCAAGAAUCUCUCUCAACGUUGAACAAGUUCUCUCGUCGUCAAAGUCUAUCUUUAUAUGUAGAUUUCGUGAUUUGGGCAAUGGGUUCUUCUAACAAGAUAUGUACUUUUUCCCUUUUCCAUUUUUUAUAUUUUUGGAUUGGGUUGUUGUUUUCAGCAUUUGUUGGUGAUUUUGGUGGUUAUUGGUUUUGGGUCGUGAGGUUUAUUUUGUGCAAUGGGUUAUUCGAAUAAGGUAUGUACUUUUUUCGUUUUCCAUUUUCGUAUUUUUGGAUUGGGUUAUUAUUUUGGCUUUUGUUGGUGAUUUUGGUGGUUAUUGGUUUUUGGGUUGUGACUUCUGUUGGUUAAUGUUAACAAAAAUAUUUUAUUUUUGUGUGCAAUUGUUUGCAUGUGAGAGAGAAAUUUACAGCCAUGAAAACAUUAUGAAGGAAGGAUUACGUCGAAAGCAAUACAAAAGCAAAGCUUCUAGAACUAUGUACACGGGAUAUCGUCCAAAACUUGAUUGACUUAUGUAAUUUGUAAAUAGUGUCGCAUUUAGUACAUGUUAGAGAAUGGAUAAUUGUAUUUGGAAC